rnacentral:rRNA from 1 species
CAAGUGGGGAAUAGCUCGACGAAAGGCGAAAAUACCGCAACAGGUUGGUUCUCUCUGAGAGCCCAUACCAAAGACAGGGACCGCAAGGUGUCGCUAGAAGAGGAGUUCGCGGCCUAUCAGCUAGUUGGCGAGGUAACGGCUCACCAGCUAAGACGGGUAGCUGGUCUGAGAGGAUGAUCAGCCACACUGGAACUGAGACACGGUAGACACCUACGGGUGGCAGCAGUUUCGAAUCAUUCACAAUGGGCGAAAGCCUGAUGGUGACGCCGCGUGAGGGAUGAAGGCCUUCGGGUCGUAAACCUCUGUCACCGGGGAAGAAACUUCAGGUUAAUAGCCUGAAGCCUGACUUAACCCGGAGAGGAAGCAGUGGCUAACUCUGCCAGCAGCCGCGGUAAUACAGAGACUGCAAGCGUUAUUCGGAUUCACUGGGCGUAAAGUGCGCAGGUGGCCAAGUGUGUGAGGCGUGAAAGCCCGAUGCUCAACAUCGGAAUUGCCUCAAACUACAUGGCUAGAGCAUUGGAGAGGGGAGCAGAAUUCACGGUGUAGCAGUGAUGCGUAGAUAUCGUGAGGAAUACCAGAGGCGAAGGCGGCUCCCUGGACAAUAGCUGACUCAGGCACGAAAGCGUGGGGAGCAAAAGGGAUUAGAUACCCCUGUAGUCCACGCCCUACGGUGCACACUAGGUCUUGGCGGAUUCGACCCCCCCAGGGCCCAAGCUAACGCGUUAA